rnacentral:siRNA from 1 species
AGAAGGUGGUUGGUUCGAUC